rnacentral:tRNA from 1 species
GCUCGCUUAACUCAGCGGUAGAGUGCCACCUUCACACGGUGGAAGUCACUGGUUCAAAUCCAGUAGCGAGCA